CCUACGGGAGGCAGCAGUGGGGAAUAUUGCACAAUGGGGGAAACCCUGAUGCAGCGACGCCGCGUGAGUGAAGAAGUAUUUCGGUAUGUAAAGCUCUAUCAGCAGGGAAGAAACCCACCCUCCGGGGUGGCUGACGGUACCUGACUAAGAAGCCCCGGCUAACUACGUGCCAGCAGCCGCGGUAAUACGUAGGGGGCAAGCGUGAUCCGGAUUUACUGGGUGUAAAGGGAGCGUAGGUGGCAAGGCAAGUCAGAUGUGAAAACCCGGGGCCCAACCCCGGGAGUGCCUUUGAAACUGUCUGGCUAGAGUGCAGGAGAGGUAAGUGGAAUUCCUAGUGUAGCGGUGAAAUGCAUAGAUAUUAGGAGGAACACCAGUGGCGAAGGCGGCUUACUUGACUGUAACUGACACUGAGGCUCGAAAGCGUGGGGAGCAAACAGGAUUAGAUACCCGGGUAGUC
rnacentral:rRNA from 1 species